UCCGGGAGGCGGAGACGAAGGCAGCCGAACAACAAUCAGGACAAUCCCCCCCCCAAAACCUUACGGCACGUAACACCCCCCCACACAAGAGCGAACCUGCCAGGUGUUCGCAAUCCUCCAUAACUGCGGGCAUACAAAAUAAAUAACAAGUAACUAAUAGACAGGAAGAACCGGAAUUAGGCUCGGGAGAGGGCGUCAGCCACGAGAUUAGUGACCCCUUUUUUAUGUACGAUCUCUAAAUGAAACGCCUGGAUAAUGAGAGCCCAACGCAUUAACCGCUGGUUAGUGUUACACAUCCGAGCGAGGAAAACCAAAGGAUUGUGGUCUGUAUACACCACCACCGGACGAGCACUGUCCCCUACAUAUACUUCAAAAUGCUGUAAAGCUAAAAGGAGGGCUAGGGCUUCUUUCUCGAUUGUGCUAUACGCUAACUGGUGUUUUAAAAAUUUCUUGGAGAAGUAGCAUAUAGGAUGGUUCAACCCGUGACUGUCUUCCUGCAGGAGGACGGCACCAGCACCCAAUCCACUGGCAUCUACUUCUAACUUGAACGGUUUGGCAAAGUCGGGGGCAGCUAGGACGGGGGAACUACUGAGCAACAUUUUCACCGAAUCGAAAGCACUCUGGCAGUCUGGGGACCACACAAAUGGCACCCCCUUACGAAGCAAGUGAGUAAGGGGCAUGACAACCUCUGAGAAAUUUCGGCAGAAACAACGGUAAUACCCUGCCAUCCCGAGGAACCGCUUCAGCUCUCGCGGCGUCUUCGGAACGGGGAAUAAACGGAUAGCCUGGACUUUUAUGUCCAGGGGCUUAACCUCGCCUCGACCCACUAAUUUCCCCAAAUAGCUGACCCUGCCCUGUCCGAAUUCACAUUUUUCGAGGUUGAGCACCAGCGAAGCCUUUUGUAACCGAACAAACACCUGUUCAAGGGAACUCACAUGCUGUUCCCACGAGUCGGAAUAAAUCACCACAUCAUCUAGAACCGGAACGUCCCAUCCGGUUUGGGAACAAGCAGGCACGGGGAACACCAAGGACUAUUGCUGGGAACAGCAAGACCCGUCUCUACCAGCAGGGGUACGCGAAGGGGUAUCAGCGAACAGGGGUCGGAAGCGAUCUACUAGGGACAAAAUGUCAGUUUGGGCUGACCCAGGCAAGUGGCUGAGCCGGGACGUAAGGUUUUGCAGAGCCUCUGAGUUAGGAAGGCGAGCACAGGGGAGACAAUUCCUACCGAGGUGUAAGUCAUCAGUCUCUGGUGAGUACUUACUGAGAGACACGACACCCACAGGAGCGGGGACCGGAACAGAAGUAGGCGAGGGGACGGGGACCGAGCGAUCAAGGUACGGUUUCAACAUAUUUAUGUGGCACACGCGAGUCUUCCUCCUACGGUUUGGGGUCUCUACAACAUAGUUGGUGGGGCUAAGCCUUUCUAGUACAACAUAUGGACCUGAGAAUCGGGCGCUAAGGGAGGAACCGGGCAACGGGAGAAGGACUAAGACACGAUCACCAGGCUGGAAACACCGGGGUUUUGCAGACUUAUCAAAUUGACCUUUCAUUUUCUUCUGUGCUAUUCCCAGAGACUGUCGAGCCAAUUCCCUAGCUGUAGACAUCCGGUCCCGAAGGGAUUUCACAAACUUGGACACAUCCUGCGUAGAGGAGGACGCAUCGGGGGAUAACCACUGCUCCUGUAACGCCUUCAGGGGACCUCGAGCAGUGUGGCCAAAGACAAGUCCAGCAGGACUAAACCCGGUCGAUUCUUGGACAGCAUCGCGUAUUGCAAAAAGUAGAAGGGGCACUCCCUCAUCCCACUCUCUCCCUGCAUCUAAACAAAAGCGGAGGUACGACACGCUUCCAAUGACAAAUCCUCCGCCUGUGCCUUGGUCAAAGCGUCCGUAGUGGAAGGGACCUCAGGGGACACAGCAGGUUCCACGGAGACCAGGGAGUCCGAGUCACAAGUCGAAGGUGUUGGGUCGGACAUAAAUGUCUCAGCCAGCUGAACGUCGGCGAACUUGCGCUGCUGGGCCCGUGUCAGCACACAAGCCGGGAACACCUGGGGCAGUUCCGCCGCAACGUCAUCGGCGCAGAUCUCCGGCUCUGGGGCAACUUCAGGAAGGGGAACGAUCCUUUUCCCCGCAAUGUCAUUCCCCAGAAUGAACGUGACCCCUGGAACAGGUAGCUGGGACUGGACCGCAACACGCACAAGUCCGGAGAAAUCAGGAGUACAUAAAUAUACAGUAUGCAACGGAACCGCAGCCACACACAGAUCGAUACCUUGCACCAGUACGUCGGUGCCACAGUAAGU